AUGUGGGAUAUCAUCAAGGUCAUCAGUGAUCGUGAUCGCCAAGCGAACCAACAAGCAUUGCAUAGGAAGGGGAGAACUCAAAUGAUGUGUCUGGUAGUGGAUCUAGGAAGGAGAAGAGCCAGUGCUCCUUGCAUGAGCAAGAGGUAUGGUGAGGAGCUAAUCCUGAUGAUUAAAACAUGUACCCUGAUGGACAAUGAUGAUAGAUGUGCGCAUGACACCGAGAUGGCGAGCCACAUCAAAGAAAAAGUACACCUCCACAACAAGAGCAAGAAGAGCAUGGCUAGCAAUGUAUGCCCGGAGAACGGUCUCCGCUCCGCCUGCGACUGGGACCCGCACAUCCCAGGUUCUUUCAAUGACAACUCCGGCUUCAGCGUCACUCUCUCCAAGGCGCCGACGUUCAUCGUCGACAUGCGGCGCCUUCGGGAUCUCAACCCUGCCGUGUUUUGUGCUGGUCUCGACCCUAGGAUAGGUGUGGCCUUCCGCUACAUCAAGGCAUCCUACGCCUACCUCGGCAAGGCCGAGGACUCGAUUGCGAUCGACAUCAUUUACUACCGUAGCCAUGCCGACGGGAUGCCACGUGUGCACGCUGACGUGGUGGAUGAGAUCGAGCAGAUGGCGUUGCGCAAGUACGAUGCCCUGUUGCACUGGGGCAAGAACCGCAACAUCGCUUUCGACGGUGCCAUCCCAAAGUACCCAAAAGCCCACGAGUUCCUAAUGGUGAACGACAGGUACGACCCUGACGGACUCUUCUCAAGACUAUGUAUAUGCUCCACGGACUCGCACUGUGCGCCGAAGCAGGGCUACUUCUGCCGACCAGGGAAGGUGUACGCGAAGGCUAGAGUUUGCUCAUUUUGGCAAGGAUUAUUAGGGAUGGCGAGAAUCCAAGAGAACGAACCAACAAGCAUUUCACAGGAAGUAAAAGAUCUCGAGGGUGGAAAGUGGCAAGUCUGUGGACAACUUCACAUCGAGGUUACCAUGAUCAUUAACUCAGGGAAGAACUCAUAUGAUGUGUCUGGUAGUGGAUCUAGGAAGGAGGAGAGCCAGAGCUCCUCGCAUGAGCAAGAGGUAUGGUCAGGAGUUAAUCCUGAUGAUUAA
rnacentral:rRNA from 1 species